AAGGUACUAGUAAAGCCAAUUAUAUUGCCUUGUCGAGGCAAAGUCGUGGGUUAGAUCCCCGCGUACCUUA
rnacentral:tRNA from 1 species